rnacentral:rRNA from 1 species
CAAGUCGUACGCUUCUUUUUCCACCGGAGCUUGCUCCACCGGAAAAAGAAGAGUGGCGAACGGGUGAGUAACACGUGGGUAACCUGCCCAUCAGAAGGGGAUAACACUUGGAAACAGGUGCUAAUACCGUAUAACAAUCGAAACCGCAUGGUUUUGAUUUGAAAGGCGCUUUCGGGUGUCGCUGAUGGAUGGACCCGCGGUGCAUUAGCUAGUUGGUGAGGUAACGGCUCACCAAGGCCACGAUGCAUAGCCGACCUGAGAGGGUGAUCGGCCACAUUGGGACUGAGACACGGCCCAAACUCCUACGGGAGGCAGCAGUAGGGAAUCUUCGGCAAUGGACGAAAGUCUGACCGAGCAACGCCGCGUGAGUGAAGAAGGUUUUCGGAUCGUAAAACUCUGUUGUUAGAGAAGAACAAGGAUGAGAGUAACUGUUCAUCCCUUGACGGUAUCUAACCAGAAAGCCACGGCUAACUACGUGCCAGCAGCCGCGGUAAUACGUAGGUGGCAAGCGUUGUCCGGAUUUAUUGGGCGUAAAGCGAGCGCAGGCGGUUUCUUAAGUCUGAUGUGAAAGCCCCCGGCUCAACCGGGGAGGGUCAUUGGAAACUGGGAGACUUGAGUGCAGAAGAGGAGAGUGGAAUUCCAUGUGUAGCGGUGAAAUGCGUAGAUAUAUGGAGGAACACCAGUGGCGAAGGCGGCUCUCUGGUCUGUAACUGACGCUGAGGCUCGAAAGCGUGGGGAGCAAACAGGAUUAGAUACCCUGGUAGUCCACGCCGUAAACGAUGAGUGCUAAGUGUUGGAGGGUUUCCGCCCUUCAGUGCUGCAGCUAACGCAUUAAGCACUCCGCCUGGGGAGUACGACCGCAAGGUUGAAACUCAAAGGAAUUGACGGGGGCCCGCACAAGCGGUGGAGCAUGUGGUUUAAUUCGAAGCAACGCGAAGAACCUUACCAGGUCUUGACAUCCUUUGACCACUCUAGAGAUAGAGCUUCCCCUUCGGGGGCAAAGUGACAGGUGGUGCAUGGUUGUCGUCAGCUCGUGUCGUGAGAUGUUGGGUUAAGUCCCGCAACGAGCGCAACCCUUAUUGUUAGUUGCCAUCAUUUAGUUGGGCACUCUAGCAAGACUGCCGGUGACAAACCGGAGGAAGGUGGGGAUGACGUCAAAUCAUCAUGCCCCUUAUGACCUGGGCUACACACGUGCUACAAUGGGAAGUACAACGAGUCGCGAAGUCGCGAGGCUAAGCUAAUCUCUUAAAGCUUCUCUCAGUUCGGAUUGUAGGCUGCAACUCGCCUACAUGAAGCCGGAAUCGCUAGUAAUCGCGGAUCAGCACGCCGCGGUGAAUACGUUCCCGGGCCUUGUACACACCGCCCGUCACACCACGAGAGUUUGUAACACCCGAAGUCGGUGAG